AUUGAACGCUGGCGGCAGGCCUAACCCAUGCAAGUCGAACGAGUGGCGGACGGGUGAGUAAUGUCUGGGAAACUGCCCGCUGGAGGGGGAUAACUAAUGGAAACGGUAGCUACUACCGCAUACACUCGGAUGUGCCCAGAUGGGAUUAGCUAGUAGGUGGGGUAAUGGCUCACCUAGGCGACGAUCCCUAGCUGGUCUUAGAGGAUGACCAGCCACACUGGAACUGAGACACGGUCCAGACUCCUACGGGAGGCAGCAGUGGGGAAUAUUGCACAAUGGGCGCAAGCCUGAUGCAGCCAUGCCGCGUGUAUGAAGAAGGCCUUCGGGUUGUAAAGUACUUUCAGCGGGGAGGCGUUACUCGCAGAAGAAGCACCGGCUAACUCCGUGCCAGCAGCCGCGAUAAUAC
rnacentral:rRNA from 1 species